rnacentral:lncRNA from 1 species
AAAAAAGGGCAGCAAGGGGACUUUGCCCUGGGAGACUGGCCCUGAACCAUACACAUCAUACUUUUUUCUGUGACAGUCAGGGGUUUCAAAAUGCCUGUUUACAUCCUGGGACAGCUUUAGACCAUGGCAUAAGAAAAGACCCAUGUGCGUGACGCCCCUGGCUCUGCAGGUAGAUUGGCACACUGCUGUUUCUGGCGGUCUGAAUUCCCCUACCCCAAGCUGUAUAAGGGUGCGAGCCUUGUGCUGCAUGGAAUCAUCAUCACCGUGACCCUCCCGUUCCACCCUGAACUCAUCAGUCUCUCUCUGUUUCAGGAUAGGAUUUUUGGGCCUUGGUCUCAUGGGAAGUGGAAUCGUCUCCAACUUGCUAAAAAUGGGUCACACAGUGACUGUCUGGAACCGCACUGCAGAGAAAUGUGAUUUGUUCAUCCAGGAGGGGGCCCGUCUGGGAAGAACCCCCGCUGAAGUCGUCUCAACCUGCGACAUCACUUUCGCCUGCGUGUCGGAUCCCAAGGCGGCCAAGGACCUGGUGCUGGGCCCCAGUGGUGUGCUGCAAGGGAUCCGCCCUGGGAAGUGCUACGUGGACAUGUCAACAGUGGACGCUGACACCGUCACUGAGCUGGCCCAGGUAGCAGCCUUCCUUGGGCUGGCUCUCCAGCAUCUUUUCUAUCAGAGCCCAAGACCCAGGCUUACAAGAGUGGGCAGUUAAGUUACUCUAGAGCCAAAGCCAGAGAGGGAAGAGGAGAGGCAAGUAGCCUUGGGACUAGCCUAUCCCGUGCUCCACCUUCAAACCGCAGCUAGUCUGAACAGCCAUGGGCAGUCGCUGCAUGGCUGGGAUGGGCAUCAAGUCCUGGAGCUGCCAGCCUUAUGAUGAGAAGCAACCCAGGCCGCCCGCCUGGCAUUGGGGUUUGAGCAGCUGUCUGCAUUUGACACUGGCAAAGCAUCCCUCCUCCCCGAGCAUCUGGCCCAAAUAAGGGAGUGGGGACUUUGGGACCCACAUAUGUUCUGAGGGGAGGGCAGCAUCCACAGG